rnacentral:miRNA from 1 species
AUUGGGAACAUUUUGCAUUCGU